AUUGAACGCUGGCGGCAUGCCUUGCACAUGCAAGUCGAACGGCAGCGGACCUUCGGGUGCCGGCGAGUGGCGAACGGGUGAGUAAAGUAUCGGAACGUACCUUUCAGUGGGGGAUAACGUAGCGAAAGUUACGCUAAUACCGCAUAUUCUGUGAGCAGGAAAGCAGGGGAUCGCAAGACCUUGCGCUGAUUGAGCGGCCGAUAUCAGAUUAGCUAGUUGGUGAGGUAAAGGCUCACCAAGGCGACGAUCUGUAGCGGGUCUGAGAGGAUGAUCCGCCACACUGGAACUGAGACGCGGUCCAGACUCCUACGGGAGGCAGCAGUGGGGAAUUUUGGACAAUGGGGGCAACCCUGAUCCAGCCAUGCCGCAUGAGUGAAGAAGGCCUUCGGGUUGUAAAGCUCUUUCGGCCGGGAAGAAAUCGCUUAGGUUAAUACCCUGAGUGGAUGACGGUACCGGAAUAAGAAGCACCGGCUAACUACGUGCCAGCCGCCGCCGUAACAC
rnacentral:rRNA from 1 species